rnacentral:rRNA from 1 species
CAGCAGCCACGGUAAUACGAAGGGGGCUAGCGUUGCUCGGAAUGACUGGGCGUAAAGGGCGCGUAGGCGGCGAUCAAAGUCAGGCGUGAAAUUCCUGGGCUCAACCUGGGGGCUGCGCUUGAUACUUGGUUGCUUGAGUGGGGAAGAGGGUCGUGGAAUUCCCAGUGUAGAGGUGAAAUUCGUAGAUAUUGGGAAGAACACCGGUGGCGAAGGCGGCGACCUGGUCCUUGACUGACGCUGAGGCGCGAAAGCGUGGGGAGCAAACAGGAUUAGAUACCCCUGUAGUCCCUGUCUCUUAUAC